rnacentral:rRNA from 1 species
GACGAACGCUGGCGGCGUGCUUAACACAUGCAAGUCGAACGGAUCUUUUCUUGGCACUUGUGUCUUGGAUUGGUUAGUGGCGAACGGGUGAGUAACACGUGAGGAACCUGCCUUGGAGACGGGGAUAACAGCUAGAAAUGGUUGCUAAUACUCGAUGUCCACAUGUGGCCGCAUGGUUGUGUGUGGAAAGGAUUUUUCGCUUUGAGAGGGUCUCGCGGGCUAUCAGCUUGUUGGUGAGGUAAUGGCUCACCAAGGCGACGACGUCUAGCUGGUCUGAGAGGACGACCAGCCACACUGGGACUGAGACACGGCCCAGACUCCUACGGGAGGCAGCAGUGGGGAAUCUUGCGCAAUGGGCGGAAGCCUGACGCAGCAACGCCGCAUGUGGGAUGAAGGCUUUCGGGUUGUAAACCACUUUCAGCGGGAACGAAAUUGACGGUACCCGCAGAAGAAGCACCGGCCAACUACGUGCCAGCCGCCGCCGUAAAAC